CCAGUCGUUUUUGAACUCCAGCUGCAGUUGCACGCCAUGGUACUUAAAUAGUAUCCAGUUACGAAGAAAAAAGGGGUUCUGCUUUGGGGGAAGGUGCACAGAAGGCUAGCCACAUUGUCAAGAAUAACCAGGCUCAUUCUUUGGCCUGCCUUCGGAUCAGGAGUUCCAGCAUUCAACUAAACAUGGCUCAGCUGGCUCACUACAGGAUCAUUGGGUACGCAGUCACCCUGGUCCUCCACAUUGGGAAUACUAUAGUCAUCAAAAGUGCGCUGAAGAGCCACUCCGAUGACCCGGAGAUCAGAACCUUGGCAUUUUUGGAAGACUGCUUUUACACCAUUUGGAA